AUUGAACGCUGGCGGCAGGCCUAACACAUGCAAGUCGAGCGGAUGAGGGGAGCUUGCUCCCUGAUUUAGCGGCGGACGGGUGAGUAAUGCGUAGGAAGCUGCCCGAUAGAGGGGGAUACCAGUUGGAAACGACUGUUAAUACCGCAUAAUGUCUACGGACCAAAGUGUGGGACCUUCGGGCCACAUGCUAUCGGAUGCGCCUACGUGGGAUUAGCUAGUUGGUGAGGUAAUGGCUCACCAAGGCGACGAUCUCUAGCUGGUUUGAGAGGAUGGUCAGCCACACUGGAACUGAGACACGGUCCAGACUCCUACGGGAGGCAGCAGGGGGGAAUAUUGGACAUGGGCGCAUGCCUGAUCCAGCCAUGCCGCGUGUGUGAAGAAGGCCUUCGGGUUGUAAAGCACUUUCAGCGAGGAGGAAGGGUGGUGUGUUAAUAGCACAUCAUUUUGACGUUACUCGCAGAAGAAGCACCGGCUAACUCUGUGCCAGCCGCCGCGGUAAAAC
rnacentral:rRNA from 1 species